rnacentral:tRNA from 1 species
GCAUGGGUGUUUCAGUGGUAGAAUUCGCAUCUUCCAUGCAGGAGACCCUGGUUCAAUUCUUGGCCAAUGCA